UACAGAGGGUGCAAGCGUUAAUCGGAAUUACUGGGCGUAAAGGGCGCGUAGGCGGUCUACUAAGUUGGAUGUGAAAACUCUGGGCUUAACCCAGAGCCUGCAUUCAAAACUGAUAGGCUGGAGUUCUGGAGGGGAUAGCGGAAUUCCUGGUGUAGCGGUGAAAUGCGUAGAUAUCAGGAGGAACACCGGUGGCGAAGGCGGCUAUCUGGACAGAAACUGACGCUGAGGCGCGAAAGCUAGGGGAGCAAACAGG
rnacentral:rRNA from 1 species